UACGUAGGUGGCGAGCGUUGUCCGGAUUUACUGGGCGUAAAGAGCGCGCAGGCGGUCGUACAAGUCGCGUGUGAAAGCCCCCGGCUCAACUGGGGAGGGUCACGCGAUACUGUUCGACUCGAAGGCAGGAGAGGGAAGUGGAAUUCCCGGUGUAGUGGUGAAAUGCGUAGAUAUCGGGAGGAACACCAGUGGCGAAGGCGACUUCCUGGCCUGUUCUUGACGCUGAGGUGCGAAAGCGUGGGGAGCAAACAGG
rnacentral:rRNA from 1 species